UAGCUUGCUAGUUGCUGACGAGUGGCGGACGGGUGAGUAACGCGUAGGAAUCUACCGAGUAGUGGGGGACAACAGUUGGAAACGACUGCUAAUACCGCAUAAUCCCUGAGGGGGAAAGGAGGGGAUCUGUUUACAGACCUUUCGCUAUUUGAUGAGCCCGCGUGAGAUUAGCUAGUUGGUGAGGUAAUGGCUCACCAAGGCGACGAUCUCUAGCUGGUCUGAGAGGAUGAUCAGCCACACUGGAACUGAGACACGGUCCAGACUCCUACGGGAGGCAGCAGUGGGGAAUAUUGCACAGUGGGGGAAACCCUGAUGCAGCCAUGCCGCGUGUGUGAAGAAGGCCUUCGGGUUGUAAAGCACUUUCAGCGAGGAGGAAAGGAGUAUGUUUAAUAAACGUGCUCUGUGACGUUACUCGCAGAAGAAGCACCGGCUAACUCCGUGCCAGCAGCCGCGGUAAUACGGA
rnacentral:rRNA from 1 species